AGCUAUGCAACAAGAUCAGGGUGGCGAUGGUCAGUUCUUGAGCUUCGAACGGGCAGAAAGCUAUACAACAAGAUCAGGGUGGCGAUGGUCAGUUCUUGAGCUUCGAACGGGCAGAAAGCUAUACAGCAAGAUCAGGGUGGCGAUGGUCAGUUCUUGAGCUUCUAACGUGCAGAAAGCUAUACAACAAGAUCAGGGUGGCGCUGGUUAGUUCUUGAGCUUCUAACGGGCAGAAAGCUAUACAAUGAGAUGAGGCGGGUCAUUGUCUGUUUCUGAGCUGCAUACCAUUACACUCAAGUGAGAAGAUAUAUGAAGAUAUGCAAAUGAUAUACAUGUACUCGUAGUAAUCAUGUCCUUGCCACUCUCCGUGACAUCACAAGAUAUCCCGGGAAGUGAUAGUGAUGUCAUGGAUGUGUGUAUAGUAUUGUAUACAACACAAUCCCAUAUCAUGGUGAAUGAUCUCAGUGUGUGGUAUCCGCACAUGCUGGUCAGGAACUGAGAAUAUAGUAUGUCAGUAUUGAUGCAAUGCAAUUGGAACUUGACUUGAUAAUGCAUGCGAGUUAUCUUCAAUU